UGGGGAAUAUUGGACAAUGGGCGCAAGCCUGAUCCAGCCAUGCCGCGUGAGUGAUGAAGGCCCUAGGGUUGUAAAGCUCUUUCACCGGUGAAGAUAAUGACGGUAACAGGAGAAGAAGACCCGGCUAACUUCGGGCCAGCAGCCGCGGUAAUACGAAGGGGGCUAGCGUUGUUCGGAUUUACUGGGCGUAAAGCGCAAGUAGGCGGACUAUUAAGUCAGGGGUGAAAUCCCGGGGCUCAACCCCGGAACUGCCUUUGAUACUGGUAGUCUUGAGUUCGAGCGAGGUGAGUGGAAUUCCGAGUGUAGAGGUGAAAUUCGUAGAUCUUCGGAGGAACACCAGUGGCGAAGGCGGCUCACUUGCUCGAUCCUGACGCUGCGGUGCGAAAGCGUGGGGAGCAAACAGG
rnacentral:rRNA from 1 species